rnacentral:rRNA from 1 species
UAGGGAAUCUUCGGCAAUGGACGAAAGUCUGACCGAGCAACGCCGCGUGAGUGAAGAAGGUUUUCGGAUCGUAAAACUCUGUUGUUAGAGAAGAACAAGGACGUUAGUAACUGAACGUCCCCUGACGGUAUCUAACCAGAAAGCCACGGCUAACUACGUGCCAGCAGCCGCGGUAAUACGUAGGUGGCAAGCGUUGUCCGGAUUUAUUGGGCGUAAAGCGAGCGCAGGCGGUUUCUUAAGUCUGAUGUGAAAGCCCGCGGCUCAACCGGGGAGGGUCAUUGGAAACUGGGAGACUUGAGUGCAGAAGAGGAGAGUGGAAUUCCAUGUGUAGCGGUGAAAUGCGUAGAUAUAUGGAGGAACACCAGUGGCGAAGGCGGCUCUCUGGUCUGUAACUGACGCUGAGGCUCGAAAGCGUGGGGAGCAAACAGG